rnacentral:lncRNA from 1 species
UUUGUCUGGCUUGCUAGCUAGCUACUGCCAGACACAAAUGAGAGAACACCUCACUCUGACCAUUUUACUCGCCGUAGCAGAGCUGAUUAGGCUGUUUACAGGUUAUCUAGAGCGUUCUUGACUAACUAUUACUUUUUUUUGCCUACGUUUACUGACACUGGUCAUAUUCAGCGGGUGUUGCGCAUUCAUAAAUUCAUUAGUUGUUCUGCGAUCAUGGCACACUCAGACGAGAGUGUGCUCUGAAAUCAUAAUAGAUAGCCAGAGUGAAUUUGCGAACGCAAGAGAUAUGCUAGCUGGAUAAGUCGUUCAAGUUGUUGCUAGUUAACCAAAUGACACCUGCAUCUCCAGCUGUGUAUAGCCACCAAAAAACUUCAGAGAGGAAAAAGUCAGUCACUCACCCACUCCUCCAAUGGCAUGACAUCCUCCUAGCAGCUAGCUAGAAUAUUGAGUCAUUGAAACGUAAACAGUGCGUUCCGAAUGGAGGCAGCAAACAAUGUACCAGGCCAGCUGUGAUGUACAACCUGAUAGUAAUAUUUUUGGGACUACCAAGAAAUGUAAUGGUGAAUUAUAUGAAUCAUGCAUUGAACUGCAUCCAUCUACUCUUCCAACAAUGCCUUAGUGUACGUCACUGAACGUUGAGUAAAAUACAACCUAUUUUUAAAACCUUUUAUAAAGUUGGUUUUGUAGCAUAAACUGGGAAUUUGAUAUUUUUUUAUGAUAUUAUAAAUGUCUGUUUGUUUCAUAUCUGCAAAGUAGUCAAAACGCUGUCAGUUCCACUUUCAACUUUAGGUCAGUAAUUACUUUGUGUGCUAAACGUAAAAUGUUUUUUGCAAUGGGAAGUAAUAGUUGUACAUUUUGAUUUGGAAAUCCUUAAUGGUUGUGUUUUUGUUUUAUUAUGAUUGGGACCUACUGGCUUAUUAUUUCUGAGUUUAUGGACUGCUUAUCCUUUAACAUCAUGCUGUGUGUGACUGCCGUCUUUCCAUCGGCCCUAUACCGUGGAGUAGUGUUG